GUUGUGAACUUUUUCGAUAGAGAUUAUUUUGUUUUUUGUGUUGCUCCUCGUCGCCAUCGUCAUAAUUCGUCGGUGUGUAGUGUUUAUACUAUUUUUUUGGCGUACGUACGGUACGGAACCAGAAUCCAACCAAUGCAGGGAUGUGUAUUUAUAAUUAUGUGAACAUUUUCUUGCAUUACUAUUGGAUUAACUAAAUCACAAUCAAAAGAAUAUAAAUUAUUUAAAAUUUAUAAAGUUGGCUAAAACAACAACACUAUUUAACAGUAAUUGAGCAAAAAAAAAAGUAUUUUCUAUUCAUCACUUGGCAAAAAGAAAAUUUUGAAAAAAC